UGCAAGCGCACUCUGUGUUAUCAUUUAACUGUGUGAUAAAACAAUUUGUAAACUUGCGAAAUUAAAGCGCUUUAUAAAAAUGCUUUUGAAGAAUCACAUUCAAAAGAAUCUAUAAAAGCAAUAUUCA